CCUUGUACACACCGCCCGUCACACCAUGGGAGUUGACUCAACCAGAAGUCGCUGUCACCAACCGCAAGGGGGUAGGCGCCGAAGGUGGGGUUAAUGACUGGGGUG
rnacentral:rRNA from 1 species